CGAGUCUGCCAAACAGGAGGAGGGAAGAGAACUCAAGUACAACAGCUGAGGCAGAUUUCAUUAACUUUGAGAUGGGACAAAGACAGCUGCAGAAGCCACAGAAUUUAUAAAUGGAAGUUUUCUAAUCAAAACUUCUUAAGGAAAAGACAAACUUCAGUGACAGUAGUCUCCAGUAAAUCGAUCACAGAUGUGGCCAGCUGGACAGGAGCAAGUCUGAGAACAGAAGGCUCCGAACCGUCCUGGACUACAGGCUGGAAAACACAAGAUUUAUCUGUGGCACCAGAGCCAAGCUGGCAGCGACACCAGGAGGACGUCAUCACUUACCCCACCAACCUGGCAGACAGUGGCACUCCCCGGUGGUAGCUUGGCACCCAUCGGCAUGAACACAAUCACACCUCUUCAGACAGCCUGGCCCAAACGUGCCCAUCUGCACAUGUGAACAAAUGCCAACGGACAAAGAAUUAUCCGGGGAAUCUCUUCAACGCUCGGCCAGCUCAGUCAGAGUCAGACAAAAUACUACACUGGCAGAGUGUUGUUUCAUAGGCAGCCUGGUGGGCUGGCGUGGCAAAGACAAGAGGGGCACAUGCCAAAAACAUGGAUUAAAGCGUACAGAGGGCGAGGUAAGGGAUGAAAAGCUGGACAACAUUUCAACAGACACUCCAAUCACAACUGACAUGUUUUAAAUAAUUAUCAGCCUUAUGAUUUGUGUAUUAGUCUUAUCAAAGCUGAAUCU